GGGCUAGUAGAUCAACGGUAGAUCGCUUCCUCGGCAUGGAAGAGGCUUGGGGUUCAAAUCCCCACUGGUCCACCA
rnacentral:tRNA from 1 species